rnacentral:rRNA from 1 species
UACGGGGGGGGCAAGCGUUGUUCGGAAUUACUGGGCGUAAAGGACUCGUAGGCGGCCAACUAAGUCAGACGUGAAAUCCCUCGGCUUAACCGGGGAACUGCGUCUGAUACUGGAUGGCUUGAGUUUGGGAGAGGGAUGCGGAAUUCCAGGUGUAGCGGUGAAAUGCGUAGAUAUCUGGAGGAACACCGGUGGCGAAGGCGGCAUCCUGGACCAACACUGACGCUGAGUGAGCGAAAGCCAGGGGAGCAAACGGG